UCGUGCUCGUGCUCGUGCUCAGGCCUAAUACAUGCAAGUCGAACGGUCUUUUCUAUGGAAGCUUGCUUCCACUGAGAAGAUAGUGGCGAACGGGUGAGUAACACGUGGGUAACCUGCCCAUAAGAGGGGGAUAACAUCCGGAAACGGGUGCUAAUACCGCAUAGUUUUCUUGAUCGCAUGAUCGGGAAAGGAAAGACGGCCUUUGUGCUGUCGCUUAUGGAUGGACCCGCGGCGUAUUAGUUAGUUGGUGAGGUAACGGCUCACCAAGACGAUGAUACGUAGCCGACCUGAGAGGGUGAUCGGCCACAUUGGGACUGAGACACGGCCCAAACUCCUACGGGAGGCAGCAGUAGGGAAUCUUCCGCAAUGGACGAAAGUCUGACGGAGCAACGCCGCGUGAGUGAAGAAGGUUUUCGGAUCGUAAAACUCUGUUGUCAGAGAAGAACAAGUUGGAGAGUAACUGCUCCAGCCUUGACGGUAUCUGACCAGAAAGCCACGGCUAACUACGUGCCAGCAGCCGCGGUAAUACGUAGGUGGCAAGCGUUGUCCGGAUUUAUUGGGCGUAAAGCGAGCGCAGGCGGUUCCUUAAGUCUGAUGUGAAAGCCCACGGCUCAACCGUGGAAGGUCAUUGGAAACUGGGGAACUUGAGUGCAGAAGAGGAGAGUGGAAUUCCAUGUGUAGCGGUGAAAUGCGUAGAUAUAUGGAGGAACACCAGUGGCGAAGGCGACUCUCUGGUCUGUAACUGACGCUGAGGCUCGAAAGCGUGGGGAGCAAACAGGAUUAGAUACCCUGGUAGUCCACGCCGUAAACGAUGAGUGCUAAGUGUUGGAGGGUUUCCACCCUUCAGUGCUGCAGCUAACGCAUUAAGCACUCCGCCUGGGGAGUACGGCCGCAAGUGGAAACUCAAAGGAAUUGACGGGGACCGCACAAGCGUUGGAGCAUGUUGUUUAAUUCGAAGCACGC
rnacentral:rRNA from 1 species